GUGCUCGCUCCUGCCGGCUCUCCGCGGCCAUUGGUUCCGCGAGUGCAGGGCGGGUCCCAGCAAAACUUCCUCCUGCUGUGGGCCGCCCUCAGCACCGCCCCGCCGGCUCGCGGCCUCUUCCCCUCCUGGUUCCGGCUCCGCUCUGCCUCAGUUUCUUUGGGGAAGAAGGGUUUGCAGUUAUGGGAAGGGGACGGAGGGAAGGAACACCCUCCAGAUUAGGCAUCAGCUAGAACUUCCCCAUUGUGACGGGGUGGGUGGUGUCUCCUCGCCUUCCGUUCCCUAGCAGCUAGCCAGACCGGAGGAUGAUGGAGCUGAUGACCUCAGAGCGAAACCAACAGCUUCGGCGAUCGCCGGGUGUGAAGCACCUGGUGUGACAACACCUCUGCUGGAGUGAGAGUGAGGGCGAGCCAGCUGGUGCUGGGUGUGCUGUGGGGGUGUGAACAACGCGGGCUGGGAGCAGGGGGAUCUGCCUCAAGGGAUCACACAAUGAGAGACUCACACCCGUGCCAGUCCCCAGACUCCCAAACUCGAUUUUGUCUGAUGAACCAAGCUAAUUUGUCGGAAUGGUGGAUGAAGGGUUAAGGAGGAGGUGAAUGUCAAAUAGUGGGGAUUCCUCCUCUUCCACCUUCCUCCAACUCAAGGCAGAGGCUGAGCCUGCAGGCCAAACAAGAUCUGUAUGUACCGCCAGGGGGAGACAGAGACUAGUCUAAACAUCUAUCUGAAAGGAAAAUGUAUCACUAACUUCGUGUUCAGAGUGGUGUUCCCAAACAUGGUUGCAGGGAAUUGAUCAGUAGAUCUCCGGAGAACCUCCUACCCCAUGCACUGUCAAAAUGAGGACAAGGCCCUUGUGGCUCUAAUGCAAUUCAGGGGUAGCCCCCAGGAAUCACUGGCACCAGGCACCAAGCCCGUGGUUGGGACGCCAUCUCUGGGCUCUGCGGGGCCAAAUGCUUCCUGAACAUAACCCUCACUCUUCCUGAGCUAAAGUGGGCCCCCAGAAGGCAUGACUUUCCUGGCAGCUUCCAAAUAAAAAUCUCAUAAUGAUCA